UCUAAAAUGGCAGACUAGUGCUUUGGAUUUAAACUCCAAAUAUAAAAUAUUAAUUUUUUUUAGAA
rnacentral:tRNA from 1 species